GUGGUGGCUCAGCGGUAGAGCGCUUGCCCAGCACGUGCGAGGCCCUGGGUUCCAUCCUCAGCACCACG
rnacentral:tRNA from 1 species